UACAGAGGGUGCGAGCGUUGUCCGGAAUCACUGGGCGUAAAGGGCGCGUAGGUGGUGGCUUAAGCGUGCGGUGAAAGCUCGGGGCUCAACCCCGAGUCGGCCGUGCGAACUGGGCUCACUGGAGCAUAGUAGAGGCAGGUGGAAUUCCGGGUGUAGCGGUGGAAUGCGUAGAGAUCCGGAAGAACACCCGUGGCUAAGGCGGCUCUCUAGUACGGUACUGACGCUGAGACGCGAAAGCGUGGGGAGCGAACAGG
rnacentral:rRNA from 1 species